rnacentral:rRNA from 1 species
GUGGGGAAUAUUGGGCAAUGGGCGCAAGCCUGACCCAGCAACGCCGCGUGAGGGAAGAAGGCUUUCGGGUUGUAAACCUCUGUCCUUGGUGACGAAAAAAAUGACGGUAGCCAAGGAGGAAGCCCCGGCUAACUACGUGCCAGCAGCCGCGGUAAUACGUAGGGGGCGAGCGUUGUCCGGAAUUACUGGGCGUAAAGGGUGCGUAGGUGGCCUUUUAAGUUGGAUGUGAAAUACCCGGGCUUAACUUGGGGUGCAUCCAAAACUGGGAGGCUAGAGUGCAGGAGAGGAAAGCGGAAUUCCUAGUGUAGCGGUGAAAUGCGUAGAUAUUAGGAGGAACACCAGUGGCGAAGGCGGCUUUCUGGACUGUAACUGACACUGAGGCACGAAAGCGUGGGGAGCAAACAGGAUUAGAAACCCCAGUAGUCC